rnacentral:tRNA from 1 species
CCUAUUAUAACCUAGUGGUAUCUGGAGGUGGGAUAAGGCUUAUGACCAUUAGGUCAUGGGUUCAAUUCCCACAAAGGGGG